CUCCUCAAUCAUAGUACAUUCGACAUGCAAAGAAAUAUAGCCUGGUGAGUGCUAAAGAAUACUUCAAUCUUCUAUUUUUCACCAGCUCAGCACAAGGCAGAACCCAGUCAUCAAAUCUUAUGAUGAAGAAUGGAUUAGAUUUUCCUGAUUGCAGAGAUCACGCCUUAAGUGAAACUUUUAAAAUGACUUCCUAUCAUUCUUUGCAGUAAUUUUUUUAUUUCCUUCCUUCCUUCCUUCUUUCAACCUUCCCUCCCUUCCUCCCUUUUUUCCUCCAUUCCUCCCUCCCUCAGUCCCUCUCUUCCUUCCUUCCCUGUGCAUUCAGUGCUACUAAAUGCCACACCCUGUUCGAGGUGAAGCAGCAGCAAAGCCAGUCUUGUCUUUCUCCGUGGAGCUUGCCUUCUGCUGUAGACGUGGUGAGAGAUUUUACGUGCUGGCUAACUCUGGCCCCAAGCAAUCGUCCCCACCCGAAGAGAACCCAAUGCAGAGACCCUGGGGAAGACAGGCGGCUUUUCUUCCUGUGUCCUGGAGAGAACUGAUGGAUGAGGCCUGGGAAGGUGGCUGCUGGCGGCUGGCCCAGGGCUGUAUGAGCACCCGGCCACCUGAUUCACCUCAGAGCUACAGCUCGCCUGGUGCAGCAGGAGGACAGGCUGUAAAUAUGGCUCAGCGUCCCCAAAGCCCAGGAGAAACGACACUAUUUAUACCGAGGACCCAGCUUGAAAAUUGCUCUUGGGGAACUUAAGUUUUGACUCAAAGGAAGAUCAAUAUUUCAGUAACAACUUUUCCAUGGAAUUUAAGAAUAAUUAUGUUCAAUGCUCUGCCCUAACUGUCCACUGUGUUCUAUGAAUAGCUUAGGGAUGAAAAAGUUACGCUGUUUGCAUAAAAUCAGAACCCACGAUAAUUCAAGACAAAAUCGCUUGUAGUAAUAAACAGAAAAGUAUGGGAGAUGUCUUCUUGAAGUACAUAAACUUGCAAGAAGAAAAGUGUAUUUUUGGAUUGAAACAUGCAUUUAUUGCUUAAUAAAAAUUUGAUGAAUAAACUUUUUUCCUUUUACUUUUCCCCCAAAC
rnacentral:lncRNA from 1 species